GGAGGCGGAGCUUGCAAUGAGCCGAGAUCGCACCACUGCACUCCAGACUGGGCAAAGGAGCGAAACUCAGUCUCAACAAAAAAAAAAAAAAAAAAAGGUAACUCAGAAUUAUAAACUGGCUAACAUACACACUCCUCAAUGGUGAUAGUGAGAUGGGAAUAACAACAGACUUUUCAUUAUCAGAAGACACAGCUGUAGUCAGAAACAAGUGUGGGA
rnacentral:lncRNA from 10 species